GUGCUUGCUUCAGCAGGACAUGUACUAAAAUUGAAAUGAUACAGAGAAGUUUAGCAUGGCCCCUGCACAAGGAGGACAAACAAAUUGAUGAAGUCUUUAAAAAAACA